UUCAUUUUUACAUCCUAAAGUGUAAAGUGAGUGCGUUGGUUGUGAAAUAGUGUCGUUUAAAAUCCCGCGGAAAGUGUAUGUGUGUGUGCACGCACGCUGCUAGCUCGCAGGGCAGCCAACCGUCACGUGUUUAAACGACUUUCCAUAACGAGUUACAAUAUCGUUCAUAAAUAGUAACGGAAAUCGUCGUAUUAGGUUGUUCUUAUUGUAUUGAAUGUAAAUAUAUUGUGGGAUUUCAAAGUAAUUAUGAUUUAAGAUUUUUUUUUUCUUUUACGGGACUUAGUUUUGCACAGUUGUAAACAGAGGGUAAACCUGGGAAAGUCUAGCCCCACACACACGUAAACGUAACCCCGAGCGGAGACACGGGUGUUUUGUUUGUUUGUUUGUGUUUCUCUUUCGAGCUCCGACUUUACGUGUUUAUGUUAAUAGGGCAAACUUUUUUAGAGUAAGGAGAAGGGACGAGAGUACAUUUGCUGAGCUUCCACGUAAUCUGGUUACGAACCGGAUAUUGUACACAUUCCACUCCAUAACAAGCCCCUUGCAGCUUCAAGCUCCAGCGGUUAGCCACGGUUAACCAGAAAAUUUAUGUAUCCGUUGUGCCUUCUUAAUUGUAAAUAGAAGUAAAUACAUUAUUGCCGGUA